ncrna:unclassified sequences DTF3800-V RNA
UAGAGCUGGUAAUAAGACACUAUGCGUGCUUAGAUGCUCCUGAGUGGAUCACUCAGUUUGAGUCUAAGAACAACACAUAUAGCACCGCCGCUCUA